ensembl:lncRNA
GUACAGGCAAACAGUUCCAAAUAAGGGAAUGCAUGCUGUGCGAGUGUAAUGCUCUGCUUUCCUUAGUGGCAUGUUUUCAGCAAGUUUGCCAUGUGCUACAGCUGGCCUAGGCAGGAUUUUGCAGAAGGAAAGAAGAAUAUUCACACUAAGGUCCCUGAAGCCACACUUCUGCAAACUAGCAGCUACCAAAAAACUGUACAAUCUGCAGGAGAAAGCACCGUCUUCUGAUGGUUUGAGAAGCACCCAGAGUACUUUGAGUCUAGGCAGAGUAAAAGUAGAACUAAUAAUGCUGGAGACCAGGACUUGUACUUCAAAACCCUACAACUGAUGGAUCUCAAGUAUAUGCUAUUGACCAGAAGUGUAUUCAAUUUGCAACCCUAUGUGUCCAGUAAAUCCAUUACUUAUUGCAGGCUUAUCUCAGGGGGCUUUAAAUUUUCACCUGGGUUGCUGAAAUCAUAAUUUUACCUAGGCUAUUUUAGAUAUUUUAGAACUAGAAAGCAGGAAUAAGAGAGUAAUAAAU